CAGCAGCCGCGGGAAUACGUAGGGUGCAAGCGUUAAUCGAAAUUACUGGGCGUAAAGCGUGCGCAGGCGGUUUGUUAAGACAGAUGUGAAAUCCCCGGGCUCAACCUGGGAACUGCAUUUGUGACUGGCAGGCUAGAGUAUGGCAGAGGGGGGUGGAAUUCCGCGUGUAGCAGUGAAAUGCGUAAAUAUGCGGAGGAACACCGAUGGCGAAGGCAGCCCCCUGGGCCAAUACUGACGCUCAUGCACGAAAGCGUGGGGAGCAAACAGGAUUAGAUACCCCUGUAGUCCCUGUCUCUUAUAC
rnacentral:rRNA from 1 species